rnacentral:rRNA from 1 species
GACGAACGCUGGCGGCGUGCUUAACACAUGCAAGUCGAACGGAAAGGCCCUGCUUUUGUGGGGUGCUCGAGUGGCGAACGGGUGAGUAACACGUGAGUAACCUGCCCUUGACUUUGGGAUAACUUCAGGUAACUGUGGCUCAUACCGGAUCUGAGCUCCUGCUCCAUGGUGGGGGUUGGAAAGUUUCGGCGGUUGGGGAUGGACUCGCGGCUUAUCAGCUUGUUGGUGGGGUAGUGGCUUACCAAGGCUUUGACGGGUAGCCGGCCUGAGUGGGUGACCGGCGACAUUGGGACUGAGGUACGGCCCAGACGCCAACGGGAGGCAGCAGGGGGGAAUAUUGCACAAUGGGGGGAAGCCUGAUGAAGAAACGCCGGGUGCGGGAUGACGGCCUUGGGGUUGUAAACCGCUUUCGCCUGUGACGAAGCGUGAGUGACGGUAAUGGGUGAAGAAGCACCGGCUAACUACGUG